rnacentral:rRNA from 1 species
AGUGAACGCUGGCGGCGUGCCUAAUACAUGCAAGUCGAACGAAGUAGCGCACGGGUGAGUAAUAUAUAGUUAAUCUGCCCUACACCGAGGAAAAACCGAUGGAAACGGCUGCUAAUACCUCAUAGGGUAGGAUGAGACUAUUUCGUAUCAGAUAGUUGGUAAGGUAAUGGCUUACCCAGGCUAUGACGCGUAACUGGUCUGAGCGGAUGAACAGUCACAUUUGAACUGAGACUCGUUCCAAACUCCUACGGGAUGCAGCAGUAAGCAAUAUUGCGCAAUGGGGGAAUCCCUGACGCAGCCCCACCGCUUGGAGGAUGACACUUUUCGGGGCGUACACUCCUUUUAUCAGGAAAGCGGUACCUGAUGAAUAAGCGCCGGCUAACUCCGUGCCAGCAGCGGCGGUAAUAC